rnacentral:tRNA from 1 species
GCCAAUAUGGUGUAGUGGUUUGAGCAUUGGACUACAACUCUGGAGAUCAGGGUUCAAUUCUCUGCUCGUGCA